rnacentral:lncRNA from 1 species
CAGAUUCUGUCUGAAGGAACCCCAGAGAGGAAAAAUCAUACAUUUGGAGAAGCAUGGUUAUAGGACUCAGACCUCAUGGAGUCAACCAGUUUAAUGAACAUCAUUUUCUUUCUACAGGUUUCUUAAAAAUGAUUUCAAAUUGUGUGGGGGGUACAAUAUACUUCUUCUUUAAUUUAAGGAAAGGCAUGGCUUACUUUGUUAGUUUGCUCUGUAUCAGAGAAUAUGACUUAUAGCUGGGUGUGGUGGCUCAAGUCUAUAAUCCCAGGUACUCUGGAGGUCGAGACAGGAGGAUAGCUUGAGCCCAGGAGAUGGAGGCUGCAGUGAGCUAUGAUCACGCCACUGCACUCCAGCAAGAGUGAGACCUUGUCUCUAAAAAGAAAUACAAAAUAAAAAUGAUCUUAUAAUU